GACGGAGGAUGCAAGCGUUAUCCGGAAUUAUUGGGCGUAAAGCGUCCGCAGGUGGCAGUUCAAGUCUGCUGUCAAAGACCGGGGCUUAACUUCGGAAAGGCAGUGGAAACUGAACAGCUAGAGUAUGGUAGGGGCAGAGGGAAUUCCUGGUGUAGCGGUGAAAUGCGUAGAGAUCAGGAAGAACACCAAUGGCGAAGGCAGCUCGCUGGAACGGUACUGACGCUGAGGCGCGAAAGCGUGGGGAGCAAACAGG
rnacentral:rRNA from 1 species